UUUGCAGAGCUGGGAUCUCCCUUUGUUGCUCAGGCUGGUCUUGAACUCCUGGCCACAAGUGAUCCACCUGCCUCAGCCUCCCAAAGUGCUGAGAUUAUAGGCAUGAGCCACCACGCUCAGUAUUAUCAUAAAGUUAAACAUAUACACUUACCACAUGACCUAGCAAAUCCUUCUCC